GACGAACGCUGGCGGCGUGCUUAACACAUGCCAGUCGAACGGUGAAGCGCCUUCCUUUUUGGUGGGUGUGGAUGAGUGGCGAACGGGUGAGUAACACGUGAGUAACCUGCCCCCUUCUUCUGGAUAACCGCAUGAAAGUGUGGCUAAUACGGGAUAUUCUGGGUCUGUCGCAUGAUGGGUCUGGGAAAGAUAUUGUUUCGGUGGGGGAUGGGCUCGCGGCCUAUCAGCUUGUUGGUGGGGUGAUGGCCUACCAAGGCGGUGACGGGUAGCCGGCCUGAGAGGGUGGACGGUCACACUGGGACUGAGACACGGCCCAGACUCCUACGGGAGGCAGCAGUGGGGAAUAUUGCACAAUGGGCGCAAGCCUGAUGCAGCGACGCCGCGUGAGGGAUGGAGGCCUUCGGGUCGUGAACCUCUUUCGCCAGUGAAGCAGGCCUGCCUCGUUUGUGGGUGGGUUGACGGUAGCUGGAUAAGAAGCGCCGGCUAACUACGUG
rnacentral:rRNA from 1 species